rnacentral:misc_RNA from 1 species
GAAAUGCGAUAAGUAGUGUGAAUUGCAGAAUUCAGUGAAUCAUCGAAUCUUUGAACGCACAUUGCGCCCCUUGGUAUUCCAUGGGGCAUGCCUGUUCGAGCGUCAUUUGUACCUUCAAGCUCUGCUUGGUGUUGGGUGUUUGUUCCGCUGCGCGCGUGAACUCGCCUCAAAUCAAUUGGCAGCCGGCAAUCUGGUGUUUGAGCGCAGCACAUCUUGCGCUCUUCUCUAUAUUGCGGCGUCCAUAAAGCCUACAACUAUGCGCUUGACCUCGGAUCAGGUAGGGAUACCCGCUGAACUUAA